CACACUUCUCGGCCUUUUGGCUAAGAUCAAAGUGUAGUAUCUGUUCUUAUCAGCUUAAUAUCUGAUACGAUCUCCAUAUGGGAUCUACGAUAAUAAUCAGAUUUUUGGACUAUGGCGAAGUGCUAGGGGCUUGCACCACCACCACCACCACACACACACACAUUCUCUACGUGUAGGUGAAGAGAAAAUAAC